GAACGCACCUUGCGCUCUUUGGUAUUCCGAAGAGUAUGCCUGUUUGAGUGUCAUUAAAUUCUCAAACUUCAAUAGGUUUUGCGACUUGUUGAGGCUUUGGAUGUGGGGGUUGCUGGCUUUUACGAGUCAGCUCUCCUUAAAUGCAUUAGUGGUUACUGUUCACUACAUCCUGGUGUGAUAAUAUCUACGCCUAGUAGUGAUGUUAAGUGUAGCUGCUUCAAACCGUCCAUUGACUUGGACAAUUUGAACCAUUUGACCUCAAAUCAGGUAGGACUACCCGCUGAACUUAAG
rnacentral:misc_RNA from 1 species